ensembl:lncRNA
CGUUUUCAGCUGCUGAAGCCUCUUACUGUUGUCGCCGGGCGUCGUGGGGACUUCUAAAUGAUGCAUAGUCCCUCUUACAGAUGAAGUUCGCAGAGGUGAAGCGAUUAGCCCCAGCUCUGACUCUCCCGCGGACAUGGCAGACAGGCCAGGCCAGCCCAGCAGCCUGGGGACAGCACCGGGCUCACCAAACAUGAAGGCAGAGAUGCUGAGCGCCAAACCAGGCCCCCUCGUUCUGGACCAAGCUCCCCUCUUCUGUGGGGACUUCGGGAAGAGGCUUAACUGCUCAGGUAUGAUCCAAGAAUCACGGUUCCAUGGCCAAAUUUUCUGCACAUCAAGUAUACAAAUUCUAAAACCUAAGAUAAAAAAUGGGGGUAAGUAUUAUCUUACAUGGAUUGAUUAUCAUCGCUGAAAAUCGCCUCAUUGAUUUUGUCCGAAAGCAAAAGCAGCAAGCUGGUUUGCAAAGUGACACCCUAAACAAUUUAAUAAUAACAAAUCUCCAAUUAAAGUUAUUACUCAUUUCCCACUUUAUCUUGAAUUUAUCAAUGCUUUACCAAGCCAAAGGUUUGUGACACAUUUUGAAAUAAGUUUGGAAAAAAAUUAAACCUCAUGUCUCAUAGUACUACUAAAAGAGCAAGUCAACAUCCAAGUAACAUCAACCUCUAGUAUAUUUAAUUCAAAGGGUAGACAUAUUGAGAAGAAAUAGACACAUUUUUCUUGCCCAGAUCUGUGCCAGCUCUUCAGAGUCUAGCAAUAAGCAUAAACUAAACUGCAUACAAACAUGCUUGGGUGUUCAUUUUACCAAAAGGAUUAACUUGCCUUAGCAUGUUAUUGUCAUAUCACUAACUUUCAAAAUUUAAUUUACAACCCUUUCCCCCCCAAAUGAAAAUAGCAUUGUUGUUUUUUUUACUUACUGUAAAGGAAACGUCUGAGUCCCAGAGAAUAAAAACUUAUCUCAGAACUGAAUGAGCCCAUUAUUUCUCCACGAGAAAGUAUUAAGUCUCAUCCGUAA